GAUCCUGGCUCGGGAUGAACGCUAGCGACAGGCUUAACACAUGCAAGUCGAGGGGCAGCGGGGUGUAGCAAUACACCGCCGGCGACCGGCGCACGGGUGAGUAACGCGUAUGCAACCUGCCCACCACUUGGGGAUAACCUUGCGAAAGUAAGACUAAUACCCAAUGAUAUCUCUAGAAGACAUCUGAAAGAAAUUAAAGAUUCAUCGGUGAUGGAUGGGGAUGCGUCUGAUUAG
rnacentral:rRNA from 1 species